GUAGCACAGAGAGCUUGCUCUCGGGUGACGAGCGGCGGACGGGUGAGUAAUGUCUGGGAAACUGCCUGAUGGAGGGGGAUAACUACUGGAAACGGUAGCUAAUACCGCAGAACGUCGCAAGACCAAAGUGGGGGACCUUCGGGCCUCAUGCCAUCAGAUGUGCCCAGAUGGGAUUAGCUAGUAGGUGGGGUAACGGCUCACCUAGGCGACGAUCCCUAGCUGGUCUGAGAGGAUGACCAGCCACACUGGAACUGAGACACGGUCCAGACUCCUACGGGAGGCAGCAGUGGGGAAUAUUGCACAAUGGGCGCAAGCCUGAUGCAGCCAUGCCGCGUGUGUGAAGAAGGCCUUCGGGUUGUAAAGCACUUUCAGCGGGGAGGAAGGCGUUAAGGUUAAUAACCUUGUCGAUUGACGUUACCCGCAGAAGAAGCACCGGCUAACUCCGUGCCAGCAGCCGCGGUAAUACGGAGGGUGCAAGCGUUAAUCGGAAUUACUGGGCGUAAAGCGCACGCAGGCGGUCUGUCAAGUCGGAUGUGAAAUCCCCGGGCUCAACCUGGGAACUGCAUUCGAAACUGGCAGGCUAGAGUCUUGUAGAGGGGGGUAGAAUUCCAGGUGUAGCGGUGAAAUGCGUAGAGAUCUGGAGGAAUACCGGUGGCGAAGGCGGCCCCCUGGACAAAGACUGACGCUCAGGUGCGAAAGCGUGGGGAGCAAACUGGAUUAGAUACCCUGGUAGUCCACGCCGUAGACGAUGUCGAUUUGGAGGUUGUGCCCUUGAGGCGUGGCUUCCGGAGCUAACGCGUUAAAUCGACCGCCUGGGGAGUACGGCCGCAGGGUUAAAACUCAAAUGAAUUGACGGGUGCCCGCACAAGCGGUGGAGCAUGUGGUUUAAUUCGAUGCAACGCGUAGAAACUUACCUGGUCUUGACAUCCACAGAAGUUUCCCGAGAUGGAUUGGUGCCUUCGGGAACUGUGAGACAGGUGCUGCAUGGCUGUCGUCAGCUCCUGGUGUGAAAUGUUAGGGUUAAGUCCCGCCACCACCGUACCCUUUUAUUCUUUGUUUGCCAGGGGGUUUUUGCCCGGGAACUCCAAAGGAAACUGCCCGUG
rnacentral:rRNA from 1 species